UUCAGAACUUGGUGUGUCAAUGACAAUUCGUAAAAAUGAUGAGGCAGUGACAGAUUGUCGAAGGAGUGUAAUCAUUCCUCAGGCUUCUUCGAGCUUUAUAGAAGUGAGUGAAUUAAACAAAUCUCCUUUACGAAAAUCAUGAAAGAGUUCUCUUCCCACACUGUCACGACUAGGAAAACAUCCGGAUCAGGCGAUAAUUCUGAUAGACGAACAUGUUGCUGAUUUAUGCCAAAUAAAUCUCUCUAGAAAGGAAGCUGAUAGAAAAACCUAUAUUAAAUAUGAAGUUAUAGGUGCAAAUUCUGUUGCUGUGACUUAC